rnacentral:rRNA from 1 species
CCUACGGGAGACAGCAGUGGGGAAUAUUGCACAAUGGGGGAAACCCUGAUGCAGCGACGCCGCGUGAGUGAAGAAGUAAUUCGUUAUGUAAAGCUCUAUCCGCAGGGAAGAAAAUGACGGUACUUGAGUAAGAAGCCGCGGCUAACUACGUGCCAGCAGCCGCGGUAAUACGUAGGGGGCAAGCGUUAUCCGGAUUUACUGGGUGUAAAGGGAGCGUAGACGGCAGUGCAAGUCUGGAGUGAAAGGCGGGGGCUCAACCCCCGGACUGCUCUGGAAACUGUACGGCUGGAGUGCAGGAGAGGUAAGUGGAAUUCCUAGUGUAGCGGUGAAAUGCGUAGAUAUUAGGAGGAACACCAGUGGCGAAGGCGGCUUACUGGACUGUAACUGACGCUGAGGCUCGAAAGCGUGGGGAGCAAACAGGAUUAGAUACCCUGGUAGUC